CAAGAGCGUAUGUAAAAGUUGUUGCAGUUAAAAAGCUCGUAGUUGAACCUUGGGUUUGGUUGGCUGGUCCGCUUUUUUGCGAGUACUGGAUUCAACCGAGCCUUUCCUUCUGGCUAACCAGUCGUUUCGGCGGCUGGCGAACCAGGAUUUUUACUUUGAGAAAAUUAGAGUGUUCAAAGCAGGCAUUAGCUUGAAUACAUUAGCAUGGAAUAAUAGAAUAGGACGUUAUGGUUCUAUUUUGUUGGUUUCUAGGACCAUCGUAAUGAUUAAUAGGGACGGUCGGGGGCAUCAGUAUUCAGUUGUCAGAGGUGAAAUUCUUGGAUUUACUGAAGACUAACUACUGCGAAAGCAUUUGCCAAGGAUGUUUUCAUUAA
rnacentral:rRNA from 1 species